ensembl:lncRNA
GGCGGCCGUGAGGAAGUCGCGCAGUGCUCCGCAGCGCUCCAAGGCCGCGGGGCGGCCCCGGGGCUCCGAGCGCCGCCUCAGCUUCGACGAGUGUUCUUGGCCUUCGUUUCCUGCCUGGCCCUGCAGCUGCCGGCUCACUGGCUGCUCGCGGGCUUCAGAUGUUCUCGGGACCGCCGGCAGCGGACUGAAAAGACAGAGCGGGAGGGAUCUGCUUGAGUGGGUGAUGGCUUUGGGGCCGCAUCCUGCAACCCUGAGCCAGGACCCUUGGCUGCAACGCAGCCUUGCCCACAGACAGCUCACCGGCUGCCCCGUGGCGCUCCUGAGAUCCGGACAGGGGCCAGCCCUGUGAGCUGAUGCCAGCCCGGAGCCUCCAGCCUCACCUGGACGAAAAGCUCUCCUUCCGCUGUAAGCUUCUUCUGCUUCCCGAGCUUUGUCCAGCAGUACUUGCCAUGCUGAAGCGUCUGAUGUAGGUUGGCACUUCAUCAAACCUCACUGGAAUUGGGAAGGCAGAAGAGAUUCACCUGAAGCCUUUGGCUCAGUGACAAGGGGCGCUCGGGGACUUCCCAUCACACGGUGGUUGCACGUGCCAUGGGAAGGAGCUGGCAGCUGCUUUACCUUUCUUGCCCCGGACAAGAGGUGGCAAAGCCCCUUCUUUCUUUUGCUUCCCCUCACCAUGGAGAUCUCCGGAGGCCUUGCGGAAUAUCUUGGGAGGUGGUUUGGGUGCAACCUGCUUCUGAAACCUGUGCAGAAGGAGCAGACACCGGCGUGACGCAGUGCUCCGCCAAUCCUUUUUGCUGGCCGUGAUGUCUGCUCACAGCACAUUUUCCUGCUGCGUUAAGGCCACUCACUACUUUCUGGAGUCCUUAGCAGGGUCCGCUGGGGGUAGGGCAAGGGGAAAUAGUUUCAAAGGGAAAGAGGGAGGAUUGAGAUUGGAUGUACGGAAGAAGUUUUUGGCAGGAGGGUGGUGAGGCACCGGAACGUCUUGCCCAGAGAGGUGGUGGCUGCCCGGACAGUCAGGCUGGACCAGGCUCAGAGCAACCUCAUCUGGCGGUAGGUGUCCCUGUUCCUUGCAGGGGCGUGGGACUAGGUGCCCUUUCAGGGUUGCUUCCAGCUCAAAUGAUUCUGUGGUUCUGUGCCAUAUCGUCGCGGGCAGGACAGCCAUGGACAAGCGCUAUGGAACGAGAGCUGAGCAGCUGCAUCAAGCAGCGGCUGCAGCCACAAACAUACUCACAUGGGAAAGACGACGAGGCGGCCAGAGUGCGUCAGGGAGGCCACCGGUGCCACCCGGGACACCAGCGUGUCCAGCAGCCAGGGGGCCUGCAGGGGGGGAGGAACAGGGAGGUUGUGGGACGUCCUUGUGAUGGCUGAGGCCCUCAGGACUGGAGGAGCCCAAGGCAGGGAGAGCUGACAGCACCGCAGCACCUGCACAGCCCGAGCAGCUGGCCAGGUCCUGGUGGGCCGUGUGCGGGCAGAGCAAGGGUCACGGGACUGCCCAGGCCAUGGAGAAACCUGCAGCUCACCUUGAAGACAGCUUUUCUGAAUUUCUCCUUCCCAGAGAGCUUCUCAAGGAAGUCGUAGUAGUAUUUAAUUCCAAAGCUCAUGCCUUCAAAGAGGAGCACUCCUACGUCCUUCAGGACAAAGGCAACGUUCUCCCCAUUCUUGAGGCAGUUGGAGAGGAGGGACACGGUGCUUUGGAUGCAGGUCUUCCCUCUCUGCCAGGUCACAGAGGCAGCGGCAGCCACCUCGCUGUAUUUCAGGGUCUCCACCUCCCUGUGGGCUGAAAAAUGCGAGGGACAGAGUUGAUCCUGCAGUCGCUUUUCCACAGGCGCUUGCUUGCUUCCCUACAAGUGCUUCUUGCGGCCAUCAGCCAGCAUGGCCCCCACCUCGGAGGGGGAGGGAGGUCUCCUUCUGAGAAGGGAGGCGGUGGCCUUCUUUGCCCCGUCCGUGAAGCCUGCAAGGGUUCAAUCCCGCUCCUACCUGGCAGGGAGUCCUUGUCGGACCCGAGGUGGUGCAUGGCUCUGAGGUUCCUGGCCAGCUGAAACACGGGCCACCGCAGAGUCACGGUCCCGUCCGCAGUCCUGAUGUCUUUAGAGAUGGUGUCGAAUGAGCCGAAGGUGGGAAUCCAGACCCCCUGCGAGUGGAAGAGAAAGCACGGGCUGCAGGGUUAUGGGCCGGCUGGAGGAAGAGCUGGAGGGGGUCCCACGUAGGGACAGAGCUCAGAAGCCCUCUCCCGCUGCUCAGAGGCACCAGCGGGCAGGGCAGCGGGAGAGGCUUUGGGAAGGAGCUGCGCAGUCCUCUCCCUCCCCUUGCCCUCCCAAAUGCAGCACAGCAGUCAGGGCGGAAGCAGCCUGGUGGAAUCCAGAGGCUUCCCGAGGCUGGGCUCGGCCCUGAGCUCGGAGCCCGCCUAGCACAAGCGAUGCUGCCUUUGCAGGAAGCCCACGCUAUGCACAGCAGAGCAAUUUGGGCUGAGCUUCCUGCUUUGUGUGGAGGGGAAGAGUCAGAGGAACUGCAGGCUGAGCUGGACAGGGAGAGGAGGAAGACGACAGCCAACACACCUUCUGCACCAGGAGGUGCUCCUGUACGUAGGCGGCCACCGCAUCCCAGACGGCAACUCGCUCUGGAGGGCAGAGGAAAAGCGGGUCACACUCUGCAUCUGCCGCUUCCCGGCGCUCCUACUGCCUCGGGCCGGGAGGGAGGUGGCAGACGGAAAGUGUCGUUGCAGUCCCCAGCCCCACACGGAGACAGCCCCGAGCUGGUCCCCGUGCUGGGUCUCUCCCGCUCAGCGCCAAGAUGGGCUGCAGCAGCGCUCCUGUGGUGGCUGUGGACCCGUGUACCUUCGGUGUUGGUGUCUGUCGCUCUGGAGGCACGCCUCGCUGCGGGGCCGGCCUCGCUCGUCCUGUUCCGCCUCGUGCCAGCGGGUUGCUCCGUGUUGGCGCCAGCCAUGCCGGAGCUCAUCCCUUCAGAUGCGUCUGCUCUCGUCCAGAUGCUCCUUCAGGGUGCAGGACCCACCACCGUGCACCGCCUUUAUACCCCUCCCGGGUGGCCGUGUCACAAACGUUGCCGUGGCGACGCAGUGACAGCGUGGCCAGUGCUGGCCGUGGCCCAUUAUGACGCGGGACAGCGGCCUGCUGCCCGCCCCGAGCGGGAGUGCUGGCACCUUUCUGUUUUCUCUCUCUUCUUUUCUUUCCUCUCAGGAUUGCGUUCCUCAUUUCUCUUUAGUAGCCUUUGCCUAAAUUGAACCCCCGUCCCCUGGAAACAGCCAGUCAGAAGGGCACCCUUUGAGCUGGGAACUCCUCCCCAGCCCAGCUUUUCUUGUGAGACAGCUCCUGGCAACCCCCCAGCACCAAACCCAGCUCACCUGCUCGGCCUGCUCAGCCCAAGCUGUGCCCAGCUCGCGCACACGCCACAGUGGUGCUUCGGACAGGCUCUCACAGGGUGACCUGUUCCAAGGAGGGCCCAGAGCUCAGUCCCCGCGUGCAGCACACCCACCAGAGCACCAGCUCUGCUCACCAGCUGUGGCACAAACGCUCCCACCCCUGCAACACUUGUGACCUUAGUGUGCGCCCGCAUGGCUUCCGUGCCUUCAUCAUAAGCAAAGGAAAUGGAUGCCUCCCAGAUCCAAACUUUAGGAAACCAACACCAGGCUCACCCAAUGGGGUUAACCAAAGUAAAAUAACAGGGAAGCGAGGAUGACUCUUGUGCAGCCCAAUAAAAACCAGUAAUGAC